rnacentral:rRNA from 1 species
AUACGGAGGAUGCGAGCGUUAUCCGGAUUUAUUGGGUUUAAAGGGUGCGCAGGCGGGCGAUUAAGUCAGCGGUGAAAGGCUCGGGCUCAACCGGAGCAGUGCCGUUGAUACCGGUUGUCUUGAAUGCGGUCAAGGCCGGCGGAAUGUGGCGUGUAGCGGUGAAAUGCAUAGAUAUGCCACAGAACACCGAUAGCGAAGGCAGCUGGCCGGGCCUGCAUUGACGCUGAGGCACGAAAGCGUGGGGAUCGAACAGGAUUAGAUACCCUGGUAGUCCACGCUGUAAACGAUGGACACUCGUUGUCGGCGACAGACAGUCGGCGGCCAAGCGAAAGUGAUAAGCGCCCCACCUGGGGAGUACGGUCGCAAGGCUGAAACUCAAAUGAAUUGACGGGG